UUUCUGAUAGUAUAAUAUAGUACAUUUGACUUCCAAUCAAUAGGUUUUUAGUAAAUCAGAAAU
rnacentral:tRNA from 1 species